ACAAUGGAGAGUUUGAUCCUGGCUCAGGAUGAACGCUGGCUACAGGCUUAACACAUGCAAGUCGAGGGGCAUCAUGCGGGUUGCUUGCAACCUGUGAUGGCGACCGGCGGAUGGG
rnacentral:ncRNA from 1 species